rnacentral:rRNA from 1 species
ACAUAAAGAACAAGCGUUGUCCGGAAUAACUGGGCGUAAAGGGCACAUAGGUGGCCCAAUAAGUUAGGAGUGAAAGUCCUGCUUUCAAGGUGGGAAUUGCUUUUAAAACUGUUGGGCUUGAGUGUGGGAGAGGAUAGCGGAAUUCCCGGUGUAGCGGUGAAAUGCGUAGAGAUCGGGAGGAACACCAGUGGCGAAGGCGGCUAUCUGGACCAAAACUGACACUGAGGCGCGAAAGCGUGGGGAGCAAACAG